AGGUCGUUGUCACCUAUUAUGUAUGGUUGAUAUAUCAGUCAUGGAACCAGGUGAUGCAAGAGCAACGCCAGAGGAGUCACUGCUUUUAUGACUUCGAGAGAAGUACCUUUGAUUCGAGAGGAAGCUUGGAAGUUAAAAAGGCAACUCAGAAAUGAAGUGUCAAGUCAAAUUCAAGCCAGUGGCCACCAAGGAAGCAUCCACACCAAGGACUCAUUAUCUUCUCUACCAUGUGGACUUCAUUUCCCAUCCUGGGCUUGCUCAAUGCAUGCCUGACCCUGCACAGUUUCUGAAAAGUUGAGUUUAAAUAUGUAUUCUAUAAGGAAGUUGGAUACAGAAAAAAAAUAGAAAGUAAUAGAAGAUGAAAAAACCAGCAUGCUUCACUGGACCAGAAGAAUGAGAAUAAAUUUAACAAAAGACUCCAUCUUUCAAAAAAAGACUACAAAAUUGUGAAAGGAGUGACAAAUGGUUCUAGACCAGAGUCACAGCAGAGAAUGGGAAGUUCCACAAGCCUGAGACUCUACUAGAAGGAGGGAAGAAAUGUGAGCAUCUGCAAAACCUGAAGAGAGGGAUGGCUACAGAGGCGAGCUGCUGCUACAUGCAUCACAAGCGAAGUUUCGAAAUUACUUCAAAAGAUGCUGUGAUAAUUUCUCAAUAUAUGCUUGAUAGUUCAUGUUCCUUAAAGUGUCAAUAUUUAUUUACAGUGUCUACUUAGGCAUAUUUGUAGCCCAAAAUUUUAAUGUGGUGGAAAGAAAAUCAAUCUGAAAUCAGAAUAAUUGGAAUCAAGAGGAAGAUUUUUCAUUCUGUGGAGGUGGGCCAUAGUAUCUCAUUCCUCUUUAUUCCAUAAAAAUUCACAGUAAUCACCAUCCAGUAAGUCUGUGCAUUUACCCUUUUCAGUUUUACUCCUUCUUCUUACUGUAUGCUCCACCCUAAGACACAGACAGAAGUUGUGACCACAUGGCUGGCUUUCUGAAAUGGUGGUUCCAGACAACUGUUUGUACCAUCCAA